GGGGGCUUUAAAGCUUUUAAUAUAUAAAAGAGAGGUGCUUUGGAGCUGUGGAUAUUCUUGGAUUGGAAAACGUUGGGCUAAAUCUAUAGUGGGGCAAAACACGGAUAGGGAGAUGGAUUUGAAUUUUUGAUGGGGAAAGAGUUCAGGAAGUAUACUGUAGAAUGGGGUGUUGUGUGGAAAUAUAAAGAAAAGGCAGUUCAUUUGGUAAAAAAAAAUACUGAAGAGAGUAGGGCUAGAAAGAAUCCCAUUCAGAGUUGCCUGGGCAUCUUAAAAUGCAUUAUUGUUUCCAGGGAAUUACAUGUUUAUUUUCCAGCUGCGGGAUAGGUGUGGUUCCUGGAAUCAGUGGAUUGGGUUUGAACAGAGGAGCCACAUGGAAGAUGUGAAAGAGACUGAUUGUUUUCUAAGAUAAAACAUUGCAGUGAUAUGUUCAUAGUUUUAGUUAAAUACUUAAAAGAUCUUUAAAAGAAUUAUUGUUCUUCCUACCUGGUGAGGACAGGACAAGAAACAAUAGCUGUUGACUACAUGGAGAUUGUGUUUUAAAGGUGGCAGGAGAAUCCCAACUCAGCAGUAGAGUUAACCAUUUACAGAGAUUGUGGAAAAUUAACUUAGAUUCCCCCCCCCCUCGGGCAGGUAGAGGUUGAACAAGACACCUGUUUGGUUACAUAGGAUGUUCAGCCUCAGAAUUGGAGUUGACUGAAGAGAGUUCUCUUCCCAAAGUCCAACUUUGAAGAAGUGGGUUGAGUUAAUCUAUGCAGAAAAAAAACCCUCACUCUGGAAUGAGGAAGAAUAGAAAGCAUUUUAAAGUUUGUAGUGGUGGCAAAAAGUCAGAUACUGUUGGGUAUGGAAGUAUAAUGUAGCCUUGAAGCGAAACAGGAAGAUUUAAGCAGAAUUCUUGUUUGGGCACUGAACAGUAGCAUUGGCAAUCAGAAUAAAGGAGGGUGUCGCAUGUAUAUAUGUAUUUAUUAUAUCUGAGUGUAGAACUUGACAGAAUGUUUUGUACCAUGAAAUAAAGGGAAGUGUGUCAGGAUUGAGUUAUUUAUAUUGAGAGAAAUUGUAGGGGCUGUGGAAUGGCAGAGGACUUACUUGCUGGUGACUUAAUAUAAUUACUAUUUUUGCAAACUCCCUUUCCUCUGCGUUUCUACCCAGACAAAAUAAAGGAGAGAGCCUCCAUCAGAAGAAAGAAAAUUGGGAAGCUGAGCCAAUUGGAGGGGUUGGAAUUUAUAGCGCUUCAUUUUUUCCUCUUUAUAUUCAGGCUGAUUUGAAAAGAGAUGUAAAGCACCCUGUCAUAAAAGUAGGCAGUCGCUUCUUUUCUAGUACUGGAAAGGGUUGCCUUUUGUUGGCACCCUUGCUGGUGAGGUAUCUUGUUGCAGUUCUGUUUCCCAAGCAGUGUCACGUGUCUCUUUGCUUUCACUGCACCUCCUAUACUGCUCCCCAGAGGGGAGAAGAGAUCUUUUGCUAAUCACGGGGGUAUUUAUAAAAGGAAUGCUUGGUACUUGCUAGCUCACUUUAUUUGGAGGACUUCCAGCUCUUCAAGCUACAGAAUCAGGAAUGAUGUUGGUGUGGGAGUACUGCACACUACACUGCUAUUUGAACAGGGUCAUACUGUUGUGCUACUUCUCUUCCUGCCACAGUGGUGACAUUACAGGUAUGGACUUAAGCCUUUCCUCUCCUCCCUUCUCCUGAGGCUUGAAACUUUGCUUUGAGUCCUAAUCCAAUAUGAUAAAUUAUUGGAAAGUGAUGCCAAGAUCUGGUGUAAGGUAGUGGGAUUGGCUGAUUCCCUGAAUUUAUGUCUAAAGUGUUGAGUUUUAAUGAAGAGCUGGUUAUCACACACACUUCUGCCUGGCACUUGUUUGCUUUGGAAACACUGCAAGAAUGUAAAUUGCCUCUUUUAAUUGGGAAUAUCUGAAUAUUCUACUGGUGGAACUGGUUUUAAGUGUAACGGUCCAGUCAUCAUGAAGUAAUUUUAGUGUCCCAGCAUUCUUCUUUUCAGGCAAUGCAGUAGUGGGGUUCUACAGGCAUGCUGGACUGUUUGGCUCGCCUCACAAGAACUGGCAAUGGUAGUGAGUCUUUCCAAGUUAAGGAAAAAAGAUCCAUUCUCCAAAUUGAUAGUUUGUACUUUUGAUCAAAUAUUGAAUUUCAGACAUUCCAAAGAGAAGAAAAAACACGUACUCCUAACUUUGUUUAGCACUGUCUGCCACCAGAACAUAAGUCCCCCAAGAUGAAAGUGCACUUUUUCACAACUGUUGAUGCAUUUCAGAUUGCAAAAGAAUAAAUGGGGAAAGCUUGAUUUCUAAUUGUAAAUGUAUCUAGGGGAAUAGGUCUGGGGAAACUGUUGCUUUGUAGCCACUGGAACUUUGUGUUGCAUUUGAACUCAAGGAACAGGUACUGUAAAUCUUCAAAGCAUUGGUGAGACACUUAUCAGGAAGCAAAAUCGGACCAUGGGAUAACAAAUUAACAAUGAACAUUAUUGGCUACAUGAAAGCAGGAUUAAAAUACAAACAUUAGAAACACUGCGUUGAGCUUAAAUAGCUGCAAAUUACUGGUUCCUAACAUACAGAAUUGUAUUUCAGUAUGAAUUGGCCCUUUGUGCAACCAUAUUCAGACUUAUUUAUAUGUUUAACUCUAUUUUGGUAUUAAAAGAGAACUUAAAACAUUGUAUUUUAAAUUGAGGCUUUUUUAAUGGAACAUCUUAAGACCCCAAUUGGAUAUAUUUGGACUGAAAAACCAGGGAUAUAUCAAUUCCCUGAUUCCCUCUAGGAGAUUCCUAUCGGAACACUCUUUAAUGGUGCCAGUGCAGAUGACUUGUUUUCCAAGCAGCUUGGGAAUGCAUUCCACCGACCCACUCGGCUUUCAUUACAAUGGGGCAUGUCUGAGCCUUUCUCACUGGUGAAUAUAUUCUGAUUUGCUGCAGUUUUAAGGGUCACUUAUAGGAGUGGUUGCUGAGCACCACUGUUGAGCCUGUUGCCCUUAUUGAGGUGGAAGAUGUAGCACAUUCCAGAAUUCCACUCAAACCAACGGCUUUUACCCUCAGAAAAUUGGUGAAAACUCUUGUAGCAGGCCUUUCCAAGGUGAGGGCUUCUAAUGAUUAGCUUACUAGUGAAGUGAUGAUGUUUUUAUAGCUGUGUUUUAAUAUUAUAGGGUUAUUGUUUUUAACUGGUUUUAUAUUGAUUUUACUGUGUUUUUAUUAAAUAUUUCCAUUAAUUUAUGCAAUAUAGAUUGUCUAUGGGUCACAAACAAUUUCCACAUAAAGAAAGGAAGCUGUCUAAUAUAAAACAGUAAUUCUUAAUUAAGAUUAAAGCAAACAAAAAUGUCCAACAUUAAACGCACAAUCUUGUACAUUCUUACUCAGAAGUAAGUACCACUAUGUUAAUUGUGUUAGUCUUGUUUCCUAAGAUAUGUAUUUAGGAUUGCAGUCUAGGCUAUAUUGAAACAUCUAUACUUGUGUAGAUCAUAAACAUAUAACUUAAUAGACAGUUAAGAGUGCAAGUCCUAUCGGGACACCUGUCAGCCUUUGAACUCGGGGGCUAAGGGGUAGCGUAUGCAAAGCGGGAGGAGCGUGGAGGUGAUCUUCGCUUUUGCGCUGCCCCCACCCCCUGCAGUUUAGCCAGACGGCUGUUUUCGCCUGUCUAGCUGAGGUGUAGGGAAGCAGGAGGAAAGGAGGCUGGGGCAGCCAGGGGAUUAUCCAAAGGGAGAGGUGGGUAAGAAAUUAUUAUUAUUAUUAUUAUUAUUAUUAUUAUUAUUAUUAUUCAUAAACCGCCUGCCUGUCUUCUCCCACACUGCCCCCAGGACUGCCUCCUCUCUGAGCUUGCAUUUGUGAGCUUGUAGAGGCAGCUGCCUCUGUGCUGGCUGUGGGGGAGGAGAGCUUGGACUCCAACCUAUGAUCUAGGAAUCCAAACUAUCCUAUGGCCCCACUGUCUAGGGGCCAUAGGAUUGCUUUCUAAACAACUUAAUUCAAUUUUCCUUUCUUCUCCCUUAUUUGUACAAUUUCAGUUACAAUUUUGAUAAUUCUGCAAUUUUCUGUAUUUUAUGGAGUUAUUUUAUUAAAUGGAACUAUGGUUGAGUCUCAUUUGGAAGCUUUCUAAGAAUUUUAGUCACACUUAAUAUUCCAUACUAAAUUGUAAUAAAGUUGCUUUAUAAAGUUUAA